AUGCAAGUCGAGCGCAUGGCUUCGGCCAUGAGCGGCGGACGGGUGAGUAACACGUAGGUCAUCUGCCUUUUGGUGGGGAAUAACCCAAGGAAACUCGGGCUAAUACCGCAUACGGUCCACGGAUCAAAGCCUUCGGGCGCCAAAAGAUGAGCCUGCGUCGCAUUACCUAGUUGGUGGGGUAACGGCCCACCAAGGGGACGAUGCGUAGCUGGUCUGAGAGGAUGAUCAGGCACACUGGGACUGAGACACGGCCCAGACUCCUACGGGAGGCAGCAGUGGGGAAUAUUGCGCAAUGGGGGAAACCCUGACGCAGGCACGCCGCGUGGGUGAUGAAGGGCUUCGGGUUGUAAAGCCCUGUCGGGAGGGACGAAAACUGAUGGUACCUCCCAAGAAAGCACCGGCUAACUCCGUGCCAGCAGCCGCGGUAAUACGGAGGGUGCGAGCGUUGCUCGGAAUCACUGGGCGUAAAGCGUACGCAGGCUGCCUGUCAAGUCGGGUGUGAAAGCCCGGGGCUCAACCCCCGGAAUUGCGCCCGAGACUGCCAGGCUUGAAUGCGGGAGAGGGAAGCGGAAUUCCUGGUGUAGAGGUGAAAUUCGUAGAUAUCAGGAGGAACACCAGUGGCGAAAGCGGCUUCCUGGCCCGACAUUGACGCUCAUGUACGANAGCGCGGGGAGCAAACAGGAUUAGAUACCCUGGUAGUCCGCGCCAUAAACGAUGAGUGCUAGCUGCUGAG
rnacentral:rRNA from 1 species